rnacentral:rRNA from 1 species
GGAAUAUUGGACAAUGGGCGCAAGCCUGAUCAAGCCAUCCCGCGUGCAGGAAGAAGGCCCUAUGGGUUGUAAACUGCUUUUUUCCGGGAAGAAACCUUCGGAUUUAUCCGGAGCUGACGGUACUUGAAGAAUAAGCACCGGCUAACUCCGUGCCAGCAGCCGCGGUAAUACGGAGGUUGCAAGCGUUAUCCGGAAUCACUGGGUUUAAAGGGUGCGUAGGUGGCAUCGUAAGUCAGAAGUGAAAGUUUGCGGCUUAACCGUAAAAUUGCUUUUGAUACUGCGAUGCUUGAAUCAGGUUGAGGUCGGCGGAAUGUGGCAUGUAGCGGUGAAAUGCUUAGAUAUGCCAUAGAACACCAAUUGCGAAGGCAGCUGACUGGACCUGUAUUGACGCUGAGGCACGAAAGCGUGGGGAGCGAAC